UCAAAACCCAUUUCUCUCUGCGACUAGGCAGGGGUCAGGGAGGAAAGACACGCCCGUGCCAGGAGAAAAUGUGAGGAAGGAGGGACUCUGCAGCACCCACCCGGGGUGUGGGAGAGAAAUUCCACAGCCUUUCCUGCAAAGAUUUGUGCACACUGUGAUGUUUCCAACCCAAGUCCUUUUAUUUUUUUCUCUCAUUGGAAGCAGAAAAUAUAAGUUUUUUUUUUUUCUCCUGAAACCUCAAAACAGCUAUCACAGCACUGCCUGGUCCCAUUUUCCAGUUGUCCAUUUUUUCUGCUGCCUCCGAGGGAUCCCAUGGUGCUGGCUGACACCCUCUCCCGGCCCCGCCAGCCCUGGGGAUGAACAAGCCCAGGACCUGGACAUGCCACACAAGAGCCUCACCACCGAGCUAUACCCCAAACUCCCAGCACUCUGCUUUCAGACCUAAUAUACAUUCGCCCAUUCUACCCUGAACCCAAAGAUGUCAGGCUGGGACUGGGCUCAUGGGAAGACGUGAAGUAGGCAGGUAGACCAGAACUCUCCUCUCUGCCUCUUUGGGAUGCAGUUUGGGAGACUCAGGGUGCUGAGUGCAGAGGGGCUGGGCUCCGGUCCCUGGUCUGGGGCAUUUGUCACUGCCGCCUGUCCCUGGCUUGGCCUUGGUUUGACCCCCAGUUUCCCCUUGCACUGGCCGGUUGGCCUGGUGCAUGGCUCUGAGCGGUAGCUUUGGCUCGCAGUGCCCACUGCCCUGCUGCCCAGUGUCCCUGGGCUCACAGAGACCUGAGGACUUAGAGCAGAGGAAGGGGGUGCCCAGGCUCAGGCACUCGGCUCUAAGGGGAGGACACAGCACCUGACAGUGACCAUUCCUGAGUUCAGCACCGACAGCCGACACCCUCCCUAGGGACCUCCGUUGCAGCUUAUGGCGCUAAAUUUUAUCCAAGCAGCAAAACCGACUAAGAUGCCCGAGAGGAGGAAGUUCUGACUCUGACCCCGAAAUCCCGCCUGAGCUUCCAGCCUCCUGGUUACCUCUGCAGACCGCAAGGCCCACAGAUGGGCAGACCAAUCCAUGGAAGCCAAUGCCUCCCUCUCUCCUCCUCCCUGUGUACAAGUUCUCAAGGAGGAAACAAGAGACCAAUACUAACUUGAAAAUGGAGAAAAAUGUAGAAACACAGGCUACUGUUGUGCUGAGUCAGCACAGGAGAACUGAACAUGGAGGGCUUUGCUCCUGACAGAAGGCUGUGGUUUCUAACAAGCUUGAGUCACUUCCUCGCUCUCUGGUUGUAUAGUAAGCAUGCAAACCCCACUCUUUGUCAUUCCCAACUGGCGAGGCGAUCUGAUAAUGUGAGGAGACAUUUUCGGUUGCCACGGGGGGUGGGGGGCGGCGGGAGAGUAGGCGAUGCUGACAUCUACAGAGAAAGACGCUGCCAGACGCCUUUACACCACAGACGCCCUGCCCCCCGGCUGAUGUCCAGGCCCCAGAGGUCCAUGGGCAGAGGCCGCAAGCCCUUCUCCAGGACAACUAGGCAUGAGGGAGGCACCUCCCAUCUCUCCCAUGAGUGUCUGCUGUUUUAAACCGGAGAGGAAGACUGACCUGGAGACUGAAGGAAGGCAACCCCAGGUCGGGAGCGGACAGGAAGCUGGCACGGACCCACAGCCCUCCAGCCCUGGGCAGGAGCAGCGCUGACCUCACAGCCCCGUUUCAGCCACUGUCCAAUCAAAAGGAAGGGACCAUACAAUGCAAUCUGCUGCACCUGACCAUACAAUGCAAUCUGCUGCGCUCCACGGGGAAGGCAGACUCAACGUUCAUGAUCACCCAGCACCAAUCCUGCAAAACGUGUCUAAUAAGGACGUGAUGUAUUUCUAAUGCCUUCCUUAAUUUCAUUUCCCCCCUUUAAAACAAUAAAUAUUGAUAACUAACUCUAAGUUGUGUCAUUUCUUUGGGCUUCAGUUGCUCAGAUUGAAAAGCAGAGUCCUCCUCUGUGAGGCUGUUUCAAAGUGGAGUUUGUGAGCCCCGGGGAAGCUGUGCCACACGCUUCCCAUCCAAAGAACAAGCAAACAAGCCAACAGGCCAGCUGACGUCUCUCCCUGGAAGUUAUCAGUCUCUCUCUCAAAGGGUCCCGUUGUCAGGUGCUGGGUAGAAGAUGACCUCCCUGCCUCUCCCUACCGGUCUCUGCUCCACUGCUGCCCCUCUGCCAUCUUAGCCUACAGUGUCCGGGAGGGUCUGGCACUUGGGUAGGAGGGAGAAGCCAGGUGGAACCAUCCUGUCACCCGGAAGCCAGGGACCGAGACAUAACAUUCAGCCACCAAGGGCCACCGUGGGAGCCAACUGAGGUGCUGGCUUU